UACUGAUGUUUUAGAUCGUUAAACAAUGUGUCCUCCCUAUCCGAUGGCUUUGAUUUUUUUAUUUUUUUUUUUUUUUUUUUUUUGCCAGAAGUGUCUUUUGCCGAGGGAAUACGUAAUCAAUACCUUUUACACCUAAUUAUCUUUUUGAUACCUUUUGCUUGGUUAAGUAGAUUGGGAUACAAGUAAUAAUGUAUCAAUCUUACAUAACAAUAGUAACGAAGUUCACAUUUUUAUCCAAGAAAAACAAUAUUUUUCUAUCGUGAAGCUCUAUUUUUAGCAUAUGAUCUUAGGCCCGGCUCAAGAUGGGUG
rnacentral:lncRNA from 1 species